rnacentral:rRNA from 1 species
AACGAACGCUGGCGGCAGGCCUAACACAUGCAAGUCGAACGCUCGUAGCAAUACGGGAGUGGCAGACGGGUGAGUAACACGUGGGAACCUUCCCUAUGGUUCGGAAUAGCUCAGGGGAAACUUGGGGGUAAUACCGGAUAAGCCCUUCGGGGAAGGAUUUAUCGCCAUUGGAUGGGCCCGCGUCGGAUUAGCUAGUUGGUGAGGUAACGGCUCACCAAGGCAACGAUCCGUAGCUGGUCUGAGAGGAUGAUCAGCCACACUGGGACUGAGACACGGCCCAGACUCCUACGGGAGGCAGCAGUGGGGAAUAUUGGACAAUGGGCGCAAGCCUGAUCCAGCCAUGCCGCGUGAGUGACGAAGGUCUUCGGAUUGUAAAACUCUUUUGG